AUUGCCUCAGUAACGGCGAGUGAAGCGGCAACAGCUCAAAUUUGAAAUCUGCCCCCCCGGGCCGAGUUGUAAUUUGCAGAGGAUGCUUUGGGCGAGGUGCCUUCCGAGUUCCCUGGAACGGGACGCCAUAGAGGGUGAGAGCCCCGUCUGGUCGGACACCGAGCCUCUGUAAAGCUCCUUCGACGAGUCGAGUAGUUUGGGAAUGCUGCUCUAAAUGGGAGGUAUAUGUCUUCUAAAGCUAAAUACCGGCCAGAGACCGAUAGCGCACAAGUAGAGUGAUCGAAAGAUGAAAAGCACUUUGAAAAGAGAGUUAAAUAGCACGUGAAAUUGUUGAAAGGGAAGCGUUUAUGACCAGACUUGGCCCGGUUGAUCAUCCAGCGUUCUCGCUGGUGCACUCUGCCGGUCCAGGCCAGCAUCAGUUCGCUCCGGGGGACAAAGGUUUCGGGAAUGUGGCUCCUCCGGGAGUGUUAUAGCCCGUUGCGUAAUACCCUGGGGUGGACUGAGGUCCGCGCAUUGCAAGGAUGCUGGCGUAAUGGUCAUCAACGACCCGUCUUGAAACACGGACCAAGGAGUCGUCUUCGUAUGCGAGUGUUCGGGUGCAAAACCCCUACGCGUAAUGAAAGUGAACGCAGGUGAGAGCUUCGGCGCAUCAUCGACCGAUCCUGAUGUUCUCGGAUGGAUUUGAGUAAGAGCAUACGGGGCCGGACCCGAAAGAAGGUGAACUAUGCCUGUAUAGGGUGAAGCCAGAGGAAACUCUGGUGGAGGCUCGCAGCGGUUCUGACGUGCAAAUCGAUCGUCAAAUAUGGGCAUGGGGGCGAAAGACUAAU
rnacentral:rRNA from 1 species